UACGUAGGGGGCUAGCGUUGUCCGGAAUCAUUGGGCGUAAAGAGCGUGUAGGCGGCCCGGUAAGUCCGCUGUAAAAGUCAAAGGCUCAACCUUUGAAUGUCAGUGGAUACUGCCGGGCUAGAGUCCGGAAGAGGCGAGUGGAACUCCUGGUGUAGCGGUGGAAUGCGCAGAUAUCAGGAAGAACACCAACGGCGAAGGCAGCUCGCUAGGACGGUAACUGACGCUGAGACGCGAAAGCGUGGGGAGCGAACAGG
rnacentral:rRNA from 1 species